rnacentral:rRNA from 1 species
UACGGAGGGGACUAGCGUUGUUCGGAAUUACUGGGCGUAAAGCGCACGUAGGCGGAUUUGUUAGUCAGGGGUGAAAUCCCGAGGCUCAACCUCGGAACUGCCUUUGAUACUGCAAAUCUCGAGUCCGGAAGAGGUGAGUGGAAUUCCUAGUGUAGAGGUGAAAUUCGUAGAUAUUAGGAAGAACACCAGUGGCGAAGGCGGCU